rnacentral:rRNA from 1 species
UACGGGGGGGGCUAGCGUUGUUCGGAAUUACUGGGCGUAAAGGGCGCGUAGGCGGUCUGCUAAGUUGGGUGGGAAAACUCUGGGCUUAACCCAGAGCCUGCAUUCAAUACUGACAGGCUAGAGUUCUGGAGGGGAUAGCGGAAUUCCUGGUGUAGCGGUGAAAUGCGUAGAUAUCAGGAGGAACACCGGUGGCGAAGGCGGCUAUCUGGACAGAGUCUGACGCUGAGGCGCGAAAGCUAGGGGAGCAAACAGG